rnacentral:precursor_RNA from 8 species
AGCAGGCGUCCAAUAAGGGGUUCUCCGGUCUCCUCAUUGUGCAUGCUGUGUGUCUUCAGUCUGGUCCUCACAGCGCCUGCAAUGUGGAGGCUAGGGGACUCAGAGACAGCAGAUAAACAA